AGAGUUUGAUCCUGGCUCAGAGCGAACGCUGGCGGCAGGCCUAACACAUGCAAGUCGAGCGCCCCGCAAGGGGAGCGGCAGACGGGAGAGUAACACGUGGGAACGUACCCUUUGGUUCGGAACAACCCAGGGAAACUUGGGCUAAUACCGAAUAAGCCCUUACGGGGAAAGAUUUAUCGCCGAAGGAUCGGCCCGCGUCUGAUUAGCUAGUUGGUGAGGUAACGGCUCACCAAGGCGACGAUCAGUAGCUGGUCUGAGAGGAUGAUCAGCCUCACUGGGACUGAGACACGGCCCAGACUCCUACGGGAGGCAGCAGUGGGGAAUAUUGGACAAUGGGCGCAAGCCUGAUCCAGCCAUGCCGCGUGGGUGAUGAAGGCCCUAGGGUUGUAAAGCCCUUUCGGCGGGGAAGAUAAUGACGGUACCCGCAGAAGAAGCCCCGGCUAACUUCGUGCCAGCAGCCGCGGUA
rnacentral:rRNA from 1 species